AUUGAACGCUGGCGGCAGGCCUAACACAUGCAAGUCGAACGAGUGGCGGACGGGUGAGUAAUGUAUGGGAAACUGCCUGAUGGAGGGGGAUAACUACUGGAAACGGUGGCUAAUACCGCAUACCAUUGGAUGUACCCAGAUGGGAUUAGCUAGUGGGUGGGGUAACGGCUCACCAAGGCGACGAUCCCGAGCUGGUCUGAGAGGCUGACCAGCCAGACUGGAACGGAGACACGGUCCAGACGCCUACGAGAGGCAGCAGUGGGGAAUAUUGCACAAUGGGCGCAAGCCUGAUGCAGCCAUGCCGCGUGUAUGAAGAAGGCCUUCGGGUUGUAAAGUACUUUCAGCGGGGAGGCGUUACCCGCAGAAGAAGCACCGGCUAACUCCGUGCCAGCAGCCGCGGUAAUAC
rnacentral:rRNA from 1 species